rnacentral:rRNA from 1 species
GGAUGCGAUCAUACCAGCACUAAAGCACCGGAUCCCAUCAGAACUCCGAAGUUAAGUGUGCUUGGGCGAGAGUAGUACUAGGAUGGGUGACCUCCUCGGAAGUCCUCGUGUUGCAUUCC